UAGCGGCGGACGGGUGAGUAAUGCUUAGGAAUCUGCCUAUUAGUGGGGGACAACAUCUCGAAAGGGAUGCUAAUACCGCAUACGUCCUACGGGAGAAAGCAGGGGAUCUUCGGACCUUGCGCUAAUAGAUGAGCCUAAGUCGGAUUAGCUAGUUGGUGGGGUAAAGGCCUACCAAGGCGACGAUCUGUAGCGGGUCUGAGAGGAUGAUCCGCCACACUGGGACUGAGACACGGCCCAGACUCCUACGGGAGGCAGCAGUGGGGAAUAUUGGACAAUGGGGGGAACCCUGAUCCAGCCAUGCCGCGUGUGUGAAGAAGGCCUUAUGGUUGUAAAGCACUUUAAGCGAGGAGGAGGCUACUUUAGUUAAUACCUAAGAUAGUGGACGUUACUCGCAGAAUAAGCACCGGCUAACUCUGUGCCAGCAGCCGCGGUAAUACAGAGGGUGCGAGCGUUAAUCGGAUUUACUGGGCGUAAAGCGUGCGUAGGCGGCUUAUUAAGUCGGAUGUGAAAUCCCCGAGCUUAACUUGGGAAUUGCAUUCGAUACUGGUGAGCUAGAGUAUGGGAGAGGAUGGUAGAAUUCCAGGUGUAGCGGUGAAAUGCGUAGAGAUCUGGAGGAAUACCGAUGGCGAAGGCAGCCAUCUGGCCUAAUACUGACGCUAAGGUACGAAAGCAUGGGGAGCAAACAGGAUUAGAU
rnacentral:rRNA from 1 species